AUUGAACGCUGGCGGCAGGCCUAACACAUGCAAGUCGAGCGGAUGAAGGGAGCUUGCUCCCGGAUUCAGCGGCGGACGGGUGAGUAAUGCCUAGGAAUCUGCCUGGUAGUGGGGGACAACGUUUCGAAAGGAACGCUAAUACCGCAUACGUCCUACGGGAGAAAGCAGGGGACCUUCGGGCCUUGCGCUAUCAGAUGAGCCUAGGUCGGAUUAGCUAGUUGGUGAGGUAAUGGCUCACCAAGGCGACGAUCCGUAACUGGUCUGAGAGGAUGAUCAGUCACACUGGAACUGAGACACGGUCCAGACUCCUACGGGAGGCAGCAGUGGGGAAUAUUGGACAAUGGGCGAAAGCCUGAUCCAGCCAUGCCGCGUGUGUGAAGAAGGUCUUCGGAUUGUAAAGCACUUUAAGUUGGGAGGAAGGGUUGUAGAUUAAUACCUUGCUGUUUUGACGUUACCAACAGAAUAAGCACCGGCUAACUUCGUGCCAGCCGCCGCGGUAAAAC
rnacentral:rRNA from 1 species